UUACUUUGGUAGCACAUAUACUAACAUUGGAAUGAUAUACAGAAGAUUAGCAUGGCCGCUUUGUAAGGAUGACAUGCAAAUGUGUAAAGUGUUCCAUAUUUUU